GUCAGAUUUGCCAAAUGGAGGACGAGGGAGAGCUUUGUUCCGCGUCUCUGUGUGUGGAGUAAAGGUGGUCUAGAGGUCCCCCCCCCCGGUUGCACGUGACAUACCGGUAGAAAUUAGGAAAACGGAUGUAUGUUGCCCUGCAUUAAAGUCCCCGGCUACUUGGAGCGUCGCUUCUGUAUUUUCCUGUUUGCUUACGGCCUUAUACAGACCGUUGAGUGUGAGGUCUUCUGGUGGUUUGUGGUGGUCAAUAAACAGCUAGGAAACAAUAUAGAUGAAAACUCUCUUGGUAGAUAGUCAAUAGGAGUCAAUAGGAGUCAAUAGGGGUCAAUAUGAGUCAAUAGGGGUCAAUAGAGGUCAAUUGGGGUCAACAUGAGUCAAUAGGAGUCAAUAGGGGUCAAUAUGAGUCAAUAGGGGUCAAUAGAGGUCAAUAGGGGUCAAUAGAGGUCAACAGGAGUCAAUAGAGGUCAAUAGAGGUCAAUAGAGGUCAAUAGGGGUCAACAGGAGUCAAUAGAGGUCAAUAGAGGUCAAUAGGGGUCAAUAGGGGUCAAUAGAGGUCAAUAGGGGUCAAUAGGGG
rnacentral:lncRNA from 1 species